GUGGAUAAUUGCAUAUAGAGUGUGGAAUACAGUGUAUUUAUAACAUGUAGGGAAAUCAUUACAUAUAGCACUAUGUAUUACAUAGGGGCUUAUUACAUAUAGUUCUAUGGAAUAUACAAUGGAUUUUUGAUAUAAAUAAACUUGAUACAAUGUAUUGUGUUAUUUAUCAAUACAGCCUUCAAUGGAAAACACAGGAUACAUUUCUGUGACACACUACU